rnacentral:rRNA from 1 species
UACGUAGGGUGUAAGCGUUAAUCGGAAUUACUGGGCGUAAAGCGUGCGCAGGCGGUUAUGUAAGACAGAGGGUAAAUCCCCCGGCUCAACCUGGGAACUGCCUUUGUGACUGCAUAGCUAGAGUACGGUAGAGGGGGAUGGAAUUCCGCGUGUAGCAGUGAAAUGCGUAGAUAUGCGGAGGAACACCGAUGGCGAAGGCAAUCCCCUGGACCUGUACUGACGCUCAUGCACGAAAGCGUGGGGAGCAAACAGGAUUAGAUACCCUGGUAGUCCACGCCCUAAACGAUGUCAACUGGUUGUUGGGUCUUCACUGACUCAGUAACGAAGCUAACGCGUGAAGUUGACCGCCUGGGGAGUACGGCCGCAAGGUUG